AUUGAACGCUGGCGGCAGGCUUAACACAUGCAAGUCGAGCGGGGGAAGGUAGCUUGCUACUGGACCUAGCGGCGGACGGGUGAGUAAUGCUUAGGAAUCUGCCUAUUAGUGGGGGACAACAUCUCGAAAGGGAUGCUAAUACCGCAUACGUCCUACGGGAGAAAGCAGGGGAUCUUCGGACCUUGCGCUAAUAGAUGAGCCUAAGUCGGAUUAGCUAGUUGGUGGGGUAAAGGCCUACUAAGGCGACGAUCUGUAGCGGGUCUGAGAGGAUGAUCCGCCACACUGGGACUGAGACACGGCCCAGACUCCUACGGGAGGCAGCAGUGGGGAAUAUUGGACAAUGGGGGGAACCCUGAUCCAGCCAUGCCGCGUGUGUGAAGAAGGCCUUAUGGUUGUAAAGCACUUUAAGCGAGGAGGAGGCUACUUUAGUUAAUACCUAGAGAUAGUGGACGUUACUCGCAGAAUAAGCACCGGCUAACUCUGUGCCAGCAGCCGCCGCGG
rnacentral:rRNA from 1 species